rnacentral:tRNA from 1 species
ACAUUGGUGGUUCAGUGGUAGAAUUCUCACCCUACAUGCUGGAGACCUGGGUUUGAUUCCCAGCCAGUGCA